UCACAUAUGAACUAGUCACGUAUUUCAAAACGCAUUCACUACCUCAAUGAAACAUCUACGAUAACAACAUGAAUAAUAGACCUAAACGAAAAUAAAGUUACUAAGCAAACCCCUAUAACAAGAGGUGAACAUUGAUUCAACAAGCGACAUAACGAUUCAUAACACAUACAAAUCCUAUGGCCUUCAAGGCCUCUACAACCAACAAGUCCCAGCCUCAUUCACAAUUAAUAUUACACAGAUAAUUGAUUCUAUGGAGAAAAAGGGAUGAAGUAGAAAGUAAUAAAAUUAAAAAGAUGAGCAUGUGUUUAACUCUUUCGGGGCAGCAAAACGAGACUUGAGCUAUUUCCAGAGUAGUCACCACCAAAAAAUUAUCACCGUCGUCAACUCGAAGCUUCAAUUAGAUGACGAGUUUACAAAAAGGAGGGAAUUCUUUACUAACAGAGGCUCAUUUAUGCUCUAAAGGUUCUUCUACCUUUUUAUCCCUCAAAAAUUUUCUCUCCCUCUUCCGUUUUAGACCAAAAAUUUCCAACCUCUAAAAUUUACGAAUCCCAAAAUUUCGAAACCUUCUUCUUGAACCUUAAAAAUUUUGAACCCUAAUUCUCCAACCUUAGAAUUUCAAAAACCCCCCUCAGUUGAGAUUUUUCCGAACCUAAGUUUUGAAUGCAGAAAUUUCCAACCCAAGAAUUUCUAACCCAAGAAGUUCCAUUAAAGUUUCAAAUCGAGCCCGGGAAGAAGAAACCCUAAAAAUUUUUGUCCUAAUUCUCGAACCCUAAUUUUUACUCUAGAAUCUCCGCCAAUUUCCUAAAACGGGAUCCUCCCUCUUGCUUCUAAAACUCCCCUUUUAUAGAGAGUCAACUAGGGUUUAUUUAUGGGGGUAAAUUAGGGAUUUUCCAUAAUAGGAAAUUUUGAAAUUCAAAAUUUCAAACCUCCCUUGCUUUGGUUUUCAUCCAUGAUGCAUUCAUUUGUUGGAUUCUUUGAAGAAAAAUGAAAAUUGUGGACCAAUAAGAUUUGGGGAAAACAAAUGAACCCUAAGAACCAAUGAGAUUCAUCUAAAUAUGUACGAAAUCGUAUAAUUACACCCAAAAAUUGCGGAAUCAAAUCGUUAGGGGAUGGGGGGACAACUCAUCCGAUUCUAGAAACUUCUCAAGCUUCUUCGUACGAAUCCAUGUGAGAUGUGCAUGGAGAAUGGUUAGGUCGAGUAGGAAUUAAAGUUGUUCGCGUAUUGGGUUGACAGGAUUUGGGUUGAGGAGAGGUCGGGUAUAAGGUCAGGUUUUGGGGUCGUUUGGAGCUGAUUAUCGUGUUUCUCAGAUGUUGGUGUUGUUGUGAGAAAGAGGGGAAAAUUAGGGGUGGGCUAGACCGGGUCAUAUUUUGUCUUGGGCUUGUUGGGUUAACUCUGGUGGGCUACUGAUGAAAUUGUUGUUAAAUGGGGUUGGUGGCAUUAGAGAAGAAGGCAUGAGUUACUGUUAUAUUUAUUUUGGGCUUGGGAAAUUAUUUGGGUUAAAUGGUAGAUUUAGGAAAUAACCCCAAUUAAAUUAUGAUAUGGAUAGUUUAGGCUUUUUGGCUAUUAAUUAAAUAGCCAAAAGAAAGAGACUUUAGGCAAUUUCAUUUAAAAUUUAGCCUAAUUAAACUCAAUCGACCAAUUACAUUUAAAUUAUGGCCAAAUUAAUUUCAAUUAAGGUCCAAAUUUAUAUAGAUUGACUAAAUUCAAUUGAAAUUAGAUACGAAUUAAUUCCUUGUUCAAUCACGAGCUUCUUGGUUUAAUAAAACCAAACAAGUAUUUCUCCAAAUAGAUUAUUUGUAUGAAUAAAUUAUAUUUAAAUCAAGAUUUAAUUAUUUAAAUUUAUUUUCCAAAUAAUCCUUAAUUUAGAGUCCAAUUUUGAUGAAAAUGUUCAUUUAAAUGACAUCAUUUAUACAAGCUCUUAUAUGCAAACACGAAAAUAUAUAAUUAUCACUUAAAUGACAAAUUUAGCCCAAAUACCUAUUUUAAAAUGUAUUUAUUUGGAAAAAAUAAUUGUUGUAAUUUUAUUUGAAAAUCGAAGAAACGAAAAAUUAAAUUAGAUUGCGGAGGAAAAAAUUAUGUGUCAACAACUGCCCCUUCCCUUUGGGUAGGGUGGAUGCAAGUAACCCUAGGUAAAGGGAGGUUGACGUUCCUAAUUUUUGUCCGACCACAAAUUCGUAUCUAAAAGAGGUUGGUUUUCCGCAUGAGUUUAUCGAGUUAUGGCCGAACCUCGUUAUCAGGUUUCCUACAUAUCUCAGGUAUCAUGAGAAUUCAGGCCACUUGUAGUUCAUAAAGCUUGAUUUAAAGCAUGAUUUUCAAGAAAAUUCACGAACUAUCACGGUUUUAGAAUUUUUGGUUAAACCAAGAAGCUGGGGGGUAAAGGGAUUUAGGGGAGAAGGUUGGAAUGCAGUUGAGUUUUCUUCAUAGAUACCAUCCAACAUAUCCCCAAGAUUUCAGGGAAUCAGAUUGCUUGUAGUUCGACUUAAUCGGUAGAAAAGAUAGUCUUUUAUUUCAGACGAUCUUUGGCUCAGGAUGAGUGACAAGUUGAUCGAGUUGAAGAAAAGAGGAUUGUAACCUCUUAACCAUGAAUAUGGAGCUCUUCACAUCCAUAUCUAAGAAUUUACCUGGGCAUAAUUUCCAGAACUCUAGGAGUCCUAUCACUCAAUUUUGGAAGAAAGAAGGUUACCCUCGACAUGAGUUAAGAAAUAUCCUGGAGUUGAAGCGGAGACUUAGAAUAUCCCAAAAUACCCACAUGCCUUCUAAUAGGGGUAUUGUUGGAUGGUGUUGGCGAUCAUCCUUUAGCUCGCGUCUAAAGAGUUUGACUUUCCUCUCUAGACUAUGUCCCGUUUUGCUGCUAAGAAAGAGUUCCACGUUGUGCUGCGUCCUUUUUGGAGUCGUCCGCACCUGUGGGUUUGAUUUGAGAUUUUCAUCCUCUCGAAUUCUUUUGAAAAUAUCUCAAACCAAAUUGUUAGUGCUAAACACAAUUCACGAAAGAGGCAUAUAAUUUUUAACCAAAUCUCUACGUGAGUUGUUGUCUAAGAAGCGAAGUCAUCUUUCUAUGUACCUACUUGGAAUGAAAUAACUAGCAACGACAAACACAAUAACCAUCUUGGUUGUUGUAUAAUUAUGACAUUUGUCGGUUGAAUAUGUCUUCAAAGUGGGGUGGCCCUUUCGGACACCGAGGACACUUUAUGCAGAACAUUCCCUACAACCGUGUAAUAUUGUGCUGGUGUGGCGACUCUUUUGGUUACCUAUAUCACUUGUUGUAUGUGGAAUGAUAACCUUUCUGGUUAUAGACGAUGAUUGAUUUAUAAAUUUUUCUUAAAUUGUCAGUCUUUGAAUAAUCUUGUGCAUUAUUUGAUGUUGGAUAUGAGGCGACUUACAGAUAUCCUUUGAAUUUCUAACUUUUAGGUAAUCCUGCACAUUAUCCAACUUUGGAUAAGAGAUGGAUUACAGAUAUCCCUCCAAUCGCUAGCUUUUAGGGGCUCCCGCACAUCAUCCGACCUUGGAUAUAAUAUGACUUAUAGAUAAUCUCUCAAAUUGUUAGUCUUUGGGUAAUCCUACACAUAAUUGAUCUUGGAUAUGAUGCGCCUUAUAGAGAACCCUUGGACAUAUCAAUUUGAUAAUCUUGCAUAUUCUCCGGUAAGGAUUUAGUUGCGACUUAUGGAUAACCUUUGAACUAUCAAUUUUUGGGCGAUCUUGCACACUAUCUAGUUAGGAUGUUGUUGUCGCUUACGGAUGACCUACAGGCUAUCAACUCAUAGGUGAUCUUGCAUACUAUCCUAUUUCAAAUAAUAUGACUUAUAGAUGACCCUCAAAUUGUCAAUUUCUAGGAAAUCAUAUAUAUCAUUCAUCCUUAAAUAGCGACUUAAAGGCGUCCCUUCAAAUAGUAUGCUCUCGAUGCAUUCAGAUGAUGAUUCAUAAAAUGAUGAGAUAUCCUUGACACCAGCAUUUUUGUCUAGCGUGUCAACAGACAUAAAAUAAUAAUGAUAUAUUUGACGCCAGCGUUGUAUCUAGCGCUUCAACAGAUAUUGAAUGAUGAUGAUAUCCUCGACACCAGCAUUGUGUCUUAUAUGUCAAUAGAUACAUUGAAUGUUGAUGAUACCCUCGAUGCCAACAUUGCCUCUAGUGUGUCAACAGAUAUUGAAUAAUGAUGAUAUCCUCGAUGCCAGCAUUUUAUGUCUUACGUGUCAACAUAUAUAAAAUGACCCUCUCGACAAAUAAUAUGAAUGGCCCUCUUGGCAAUAAUUUGAAAUGGCCCUCUUGGAAAUGAUAUGCAAUGGUCCUCUUGGCAAUGAUAUGCAAUGGCCCUUGCGGUAAUGAUAUUUGAUGGCCCUUGCGGCAAUGAUAUUCAAUGGCCCUUGCGGCAAUGAUAUGCAAUGGUCCUUUCGGCAAUGAUAUGUAAUGGCCCUUGCGGUAAUGAUACGCAAUGACCCUUGCGGCAAUGAUAUGAAUGACCCUCUUGGAAAUUUGAAAGCAAUUUCACCUGAGUUUGUUUGUCUGCGUCUUGCUUUCUACAUGUACCUAUACUCAAGGUAGAUGAUUAGUAGACAUAAAUUCUCUUUUGCUAGCGACUAUAUUUUUUAGAAAAAUUCUAAAUACAAUAUUUGUAAAGAAGACAGGACACUUUUGUUUAUCCUCCAUGAUCUCAAUAAAUGAGAUGGAUAAUUCAAAAGGUCCUCAAUAAAUGGGUAUUAAACCCAUUUUUAGGGCUACCUAAAAAUACAGUUCUUAAGCAUUAGUGCUCUGGUGUGGCUCCCAAUUUGCUCGGGGAUUUUUUAACGAGACUCUCAUUUUUGUGUAUUGGUCCCUGCAUCCACAGAAAAAUGAUUAGUUUGAGUGAAACUACUCCGUGUUGACUUUUUUCGAUUCUCCAUUUGCUCUACCCCAUCUUUUGGGUGCUCUGUCAUGUUGGGACUUUCACCCUUGACUCCCCGUCCUAAUUGAUGUCUAGGCAAUCAUUAAGUAAAAGAUUUAUAUAGAUUUUUUAAAGUAGUCUUAAUUUUUUAGAAAAUAGUUUCGAAAACUCCUGAAAAACUUUAGAAAAUCUCUGCUAGUUAUGUCAUGUGGUAGCUCAACGACCAUCUUUCUCUUGAUUUUGACAAUGUCCGAAGUUUGGCGGAGGAUUUCUAGGGAUUCAACAUUGUCGAGGCUCUCUACCAGAAGUUUUAUCAAAGAUAGAGAUUCAGUCUUCCUAGACUUUAUCACAGGUGGUGAUUCUCAAAUCUCAACUUCGACCUCUAAUGCUGGGGAAUUUGAAAUAUAUUUCAAUCUUUGAUUGAAAUUUUAAGGCCUCCCUCAAAAUUUCUUCUCCAGUUUUAGUCUAAGAUAAAAUCAUCUUGAGUGGAUCUGAAGCCUUUGCUGAUCUUCAUUCUCUUUGUUGGAUGUUGAUCUUCUUUUGUGAAUUUUUUAGAUUCCUUCUGAAAAAUUCUGCCCCAAUUUUCAUUUCCUGAGGUUAUAUGACCGAGCCGUUGGGGCGCCUAUGUAUCCUGUUGAAGCAGUAAUCGGGUCAAACGUAGUUCAAGAUAAAGGGAAACGAUAAAUUAUCCUAAGGGGUUGACCGAAGUCGAUAUAGGCCACCUACGUAUCCCUUUAUUGGGAAUUCAGGACAAACUAGUUCAUACAUAAAAGGAAAGGAUACAUUUUCCUAAGGGGUUGAUCGAAGCCGAUAUAGGCCGCCUAUGUAUCCCUCUUUGGGAAUUCAGGUCAAGCAUAGUUCGUACAUAAAGGAAAAGGAUUCUAGGCAAUUACACAUCAUAAAAUUGAUACUAUUAUAAAGGAGAAUACAAAUAAGCCAAGAAACAAAAACUAUAACAUCUUUCAAGCACAAUAUCUCUUUACCGCAUCAGAAUUAAUUAGUUUGGUCUACUCUUGACCAUCCAUCUCAGGUAGGAUUAUGGCUCCUCCAGGUUGUGCUUCUUUUGAUUUUCAUAUUUCUCUGUAUCUACUACUAAUUGCUCCUCAUCAUCUUUUUUUGUUCAUCAUUAUUUCCUUCGCUCUGCUCGUCUAACCUUUGACAUGACAUGACAUUGACAGGUUUUUGAAUUAUUGUUACCAAAAUAAGCCAUGCUAGAUAAUCAUAUUUAAAAAAUAACUUCUUAAAUAAAAGGAGGCCUUUUGGAAAAUAAAUAAAAACUAUGGCUUAGGACCUACACAAAUGUGGGCCCAUGCCUUUUUGAGAGUUGUGAAACAUGAAACAAGAAUUUGAGACAUAAAAGAGUGGAUCACGGGGCCUCCUCCGGAUCAUCACUAAUUUUAAAAACUAUUGGUAAUUUCCCUUUCAUCUACCGUGAUGGGUGACGAAUUAGGAGCGGAGUGGAAGUCCAAUUUUGUAAAACUUCUCCUGGUGCAACCUUCUUCAUCCCACCGGACUUUGGGAAAUUAUCUGGUAGAGCAUUGGUUCCUUUGAAGAGAUCUCCUAUCCCAUCCCCAAGGCCAUCAUCAUUUGAUAUCUCAUGUACGGGAAAUGACUGGUACAAGAGCAGCAAGGGCCUAAACAGACUCUCCUUUGAAUUAUCUUCGAUCUCAUCUUCCUUUCUUAGUUGGUACUCUAUUCCAUGCUUAAAAGAUUUUUCUUGGACCAUAACAGGCUUGAUAAUUCUUUCCAAAUCCUUACUUAAGGUGGCCACAACUUUCUCUAUCUUCUCCACCUCUUCUGUUCGUUUGAGUUCUUCUGAAUCUACCUUAGUGAUGGCCUUGCUAGACAUUCAUUCACCCUCUAUUUCAAUUAUGUUAACUGUAGGUCCCCCAUGGUUAGGCAAUGGAUUACUGUUAAUAUUUGGUGUUGGCGACUGAAGCGUGAUGACCUUCUGAUAGAUCAAAUCUUGGAUCUUAUGUUUCAAGUUAAUACAAUCCUCGGUACUGUGCCCCACUGCUCCUGAAUGAUAGGCACAAUUUUGAUCGGGAUGAUAAAACCGGGAGUUGGGAUUGAUAGGCUUUGGCUGGAUCUGUUACAAAUAACCAGCUUUCAUCAAUCUUCAGAAGAGCUGGGUACGACUUUCAGCUAGCGGCGUGAAGUUUCGAGGAGGUUUCUUUUCGAAGUUUGGACGUGGAGGGUUAUAAUGGUUCUGAUUUACAAGAAGAGGUACUUGAUGAUAAUUUGGAGAUGUUUGGAUAUUUAUUUGGUUAUUUGGAAAAGUAGCUUGAGUAUGAAGCUGAUAAUUCGGCUGUGGAACUUGGUACUGGGUAAAAUAUUUGGAAUUAGAGCUUGAUAUUGGGGAUGAGCAUAGAAUACGGGCUGAAAAUUAGGUGACGGUGGUGAGGAAAGAAUAUUCCUAGGCUUGAAUUUCCUCUUUGAUUUAUCAACAAAAUCAGUAGAGACCGCAGUCACAUCCUCUCUUUUCUUCUUUGAGAAUGCAGAAGAUUCAGAUGAUGUUGGGGUUUUGGUAAUUUUUCCUGUUUGUAUGCCUUCCUGUAACGAUUCCCCAAUCUUUACUAAGUCUGCUAAAGUUGCUCGGACCAUGGACACAAAGCUGGUAUAAUAUUCUUCUUCCUAUGCGUGAGAGAAAACUGAUACCAUUUCUUCCUCAGACAUGGGAGGUUGUACUUUAGGAACCUCUUUUCUCCAACAAAAGGUGUAGUCUUGAAAACACUCAUUAUUCUUCUAUUUGAUCCGAUCUAGUGAGUAUCGGUCAGGGACCAUCUCAAUGUUAAAUGCGAACCUGUCAAGGAAACCCUUGGCCAAUGCUUUCCAACCAGUCCAUCUUUACAGUUCCUGAGACAUGAACCACUCUAAGGCUUCGCCACUUAAACUUCGGCUGAACAAAUGCAUCAAUAACGCCUUGUUUUUCCCUACCCCCACCAUUUGAUCACAAUACCUUCUCAGAUGGGCUAUUGGAUUUUCGAUGCCAUCGAACACUUCAAAUUUAGGGACCUUAUACCCUUCUGGUAGAUCUAUUCCAGGGUGAACACAUAAAUCAUCAUACCCUAAACCGUCGUGGUCCCUCACUCCAUGGGAUUCUUUAAUCCUCAUGAUCUCUUCAUUCAUAGCUAGCAACUUUAUUUCAUGAUCGGUCCUCCACUCUUUCUCCUUCUCCUUGUAAUGGUCCAUCUCAAGAUUAGGAAAAGGAUUAUAGAUAUCAGAGAAUAUAAUGGCAUGGAGAGGAUUUGAAAGAGAGUCUUGAUUUUACGGAUGAAACAAAGCGGGUUGGUAGGUGAGGCGGAUGUUAUGAAAAUUAGAAAGGUUUUGUGGAAUUUGAGAGUGGUUUGGCAGAAUCUGAAAAGGAUUUUACAGAUUUAGAAAUGAAUUUAGGGGAUUCGAAGGUAGGUUUGACGUAUUUUGUGGGUUUGAGAGUGAAUCUUGUGGAUUUAGGAAUGCAUUUUGUUGAUUUGAAAAUGUGUUUUGAGGAUUUGGGAAUGAAUUCAGAGACGGAUUCUGUGGGGUCAGAGAUGGAUUUUGUGAAUGUAGGCAUCUGGGUUAUUUUCACGAUUGGUGUAUUGGACAAAUGGAGAAGUGGGAGAUGGACGAUAUGUUAUUUGGCUGAUUCCCAAGAAUAGGUAUAUUGAGGGGAGAAAUUUGGAGUGGAGUCCCAUGUACUCCUGGAGUGGGGGCAUUGACAGUGAUGGCUAGGUUAGCCAAAUCUCGAGUGCAAUUUAUUUCCUCCUGAAGCAUUUCUAACUUUCUUGCAAGUUCCGUAAUCAUCUUAUUCUGUUUCGCUAUUACAUUGUCCCUGAUGGUCAAUGUGUUUUCUUCAUCAUUUCCAGUCAUUAUUGAAUGAUGGUCAGGGGAUGGGAUGUUAUGCACAUUUGACCGGGUGAAGUAGGGAUGUUCUGCCAGCUUAUAUCAACACGGAGUAGUUUGUAUUAUCUGUUAAGUAAAACAACUCAAAGGCAGAUGUGUUAGUUUCCGUAUGUGAUAAGUAAUGCAAAAUACUUGACAAGAAAUAACCACGUAGAAUUGUUUGAGUCAUAGCCAAAUUCAUCCAUAGGAGCACAAUGGAUAAACUUGCCUUUGAUCCACACAUAAGCACAUAAGACAAUUAUAUCAUACAAAACAUUAUGAUAAUGUGUAUCCUAAUUGGGGUAACCCUUUUUUGAGCCAAGGGUUCAGGCCUAACGAUUUUUGAAGAAAAUAUAUGCUUCCCUACAGUCAAUCCAUUAUCCCCCAACUUAUAUAGACACGAAAAGGGCAUAAAUUCUUACAAACGAUAACAAAAGAAGGAUACAAUCUUUAGGAAAAAAGGAAAAUAACAUGAAAGAAGAUAAGCUCCCACGCAGGGGAUAGAAAAUACCAAUUCCUGAGUGUUUCUUCUAUCAGCCUUUGCCUUCUCAGCUUCGUCCAUUUCUUAUAUUAGUGACGUCUGUAAACUGUGCCUUAGAUUCAACCUCACAAAUCGAUCAAUUUCUUGCUUAACUUACUUCAAUUCUUCUUACAAAAGUAAGCAAAUCAAGCUUUUCCCAAUCCCCAAAGGAUAAUGGAUUGAAUUUAGAGAAGCAUGUAUUUUUUUCAACACAUAAAUAUGAUUCGUCUGUAAUUGACUCGGGGUCAAUAGAUGCAGGGUAGGUUUUCUAAUGGACCCAAUACCCCGCUUGGGUAUUGGGUCGUCCUAGGAUCAUGCCUAAAACAGAGUUUUAGUUUCGUUCUAUCCUCGGUGUCUAGAGUGGGUUUGAACACUGGUUCUCAAGUGGACAACUUAAGUUUGAAAAUAAGAACAUCUUCAGAUGACUCGCGUGCUAAUAAGCUGUUGUAUUUCCAACAUAUUUUGGAAAUAAACAACAAAGGCCGGGACAUCCACGAAACCCCAAAAUAGUUUUAAUAAUACAGGGAUAUGCCAUGAGAUGCGAUAGUUAAUAUUUACAGAAUCAAAACAUAUAAACACAUAAACAGUUAAUCAAAAGAUGAAAUCAAACAUUUGGUUAGAACCUAGUUUUCAAAAUCUCUAGCAGAGUCGCCAUUUCUGUUUUGCGGAGAAAUUUUAACUUUUGAAAGAGAGUCGCCACUUAAUUUUGAAAAAAAAUUAAGAAAUCUUUAUAAAAUACUUCAAACGAUUCAAAAUAGGAAAAUCAUUUUAGUUAAGAGAUUCUGAGUAAGCGAUUCCUAUUAACAUUUUAGGAAGGUGUUAGGCACCUAAAACGUCUGCUAACUUGCGGUUAUCCUAUUUGUUUGAAAACAUUCUUUUGACUAACUCUGGAAAAUUGAUUUGUUGGAAUAGUGAUUGAUUAAAGGAAAUGUUUUUUUUGCAAAAUCUAUUUUUUAGCAACUUAGUUAGGGAUUUAACUAGGUUUACAGGAAGCACGCAAAACAAGUAAAAGGAGAAGGGAAAAGGGAGAAGUAGAGGGACUUAGGCCAUUGGGCCCAAAUCGAUAAACCCUAUCCUAGUCUAGUUGGGUUUUCGGCCCGUCUUCACCUAUCCUAAUUCUAUGUCUUCGAGACCAUUUGGGCUCAAUUUUUCAAUUCACUUGUAUUAAAUUACAACUUUGGCUUCGAGGCCCAAAUGGCUGAAGAAAUAAAUAAGUAAAUAAAUAAAGACAACAAUGAAACGGAUGAAUGAAUGAAUAAAUAAAUAAAUAAAUAAAUAAAAUGAGACAUUCAAGUCUCAUUGCAGUUUCAAGGAUGGGACUUUAACCCAUUCUUCUACUUUCAGCUCCUUGUAUUCGGUAUGCAUAAGGUCGCUCUUUGGAGGCUUCCGAAUUGACUCGGGAAUAGUGGGCCUCAAUGGCCCAUAUCGAUAAUGCAAAAUGGAAAAAGUCCAUUUGGGACCCAGGUGUUUCCACAUGCAAAGAAUAAAUAAAUAAAUAUCUAUGCGAAAUUUUAGUAAUUUAUAAUCUAUAUAGGAUUCUUACUAGUUCCAAACACACUCAAACACAAGAAAAGCGCAAAAAGGAACGAAAGUUCACAAAAGCUUAAAGAAUAACACGCAUGGAGAAAACAACUUAUCUUCCUAAUAACAGAGAACAACCAAUAAGCAUGCUAAGGAGAUAUCUGGAAAAGCAUUUUUGUGGGUCAAUCAACAAGAGAAAAAUAGGAGAAAUAAACCAAACUAUAGGAGUAAGCCACUUUUUUUAAAGAAUUCUGCCAUAAUAGGGAAAGGUUACUCAUAUAAUCACAUGCCAUUCAUGCUGCCAUCUUUAUGUAAAUUGGUCCAAGAAAGAUUUUAGAUGGAUGCAAUAACACUGGGUAAUCACCAUCAACAGUAAAGAAAAAGAUCCAAGACACUCACAGUAUUCACAAAACACGAAACAAUUGCACAGGCAUUAAUGAAUUCAAGAAUUAGCAACCUUUUUACGAACUAAAUGAAAAUCAAUAAUAAAUUCAAUAACCUAAUUUUUAUUUUGGAAAUCAGUAAGAUAUCAAUCACAAGUUCAAUAAUCUAUAUUCCUACUUCAACCAAAACAACCAAGACACUCGAGUACAAUUCAUAAGCUAUACAAUUGGAUGAAAUUAAACAGGAGUUACGAGUAAUGAUACUUGACUUUGAAUGACAUUACGAAUAACAUAAUUUUUACCUAACAGAUCAAGUACAUUCCAUGCCUUCCAGGCUUUUAGAAGACACCAAGCAUACAGGAAAAGAGUUAAAUUACCAUUUUAAUACUUCAAAAAGAAGACGAGACAGAACCAAGUUAGUGACGACAAACAAAACAACGUCAAAUACUAACCAUGAACAAAACACCAUCAGCCUAAACAACUAGACAAAAUCAAAGUAUGGAACUUUAGCUAUGAAACCAACUAUUCACCUCAAGCAAUGAACAAAAUGAGAGCGUUACAUCGCAAAUUAAUCAAUAAUAUCAAGAUUAGAAGACGGAUUUCAAACCUGAGGCAAAAUUAACAGAGAUCGCAUAUUAGACAACUAUGGCUAAGAUUAGCUUAACAUAAAAAUACUAACAAAGUAUCUUUUUUACGCUACUGUUAGGCUCAAUACGAAAGAUUAUACUAGGUUAUGAAAUCAAUUUACAAAUUCAGGCGCAACAGGCAUACAAUUUGCAAGUAAAAAUGUCAAGGACGGGUUUAAACAAAUAUAGAUUAAUACCCAACAAGAUAUUAGCACCGAAUGGGGGCCUUAAAAGCAUUCAAAGCUUAAAUAAGCUCAGCUAGCUCACAUAUCAACGAGUCACGUAUUUCAAAACAUGUUCACUUCCUCGAUGAAAACAUCUGCGAUAACAAUAUGAAUAAUAGACCUAAACGAAAAUAAAGUGUUUAAGCAAACCCUAACAACAAGAGGUGAACAUUGAUUCAACAUGCGACAUAAUGAUUCAUAACACAUACAAAUCCUAUGGCCUUCAAGGCCUCUACAACCAACAAGUCUCAGCCUCAUUCACGAUUAACAUUACACAGAUAAUUGAUUCUAUAGAGAAAAAGGGAUGAAGCAAAAAAUAAUAAAAUUAAAAGGACGAGUAUGUGUUUACCUCCUUCAGGGCAGUAAAAUGAGACUUGAGCUAUUUCCAGAUUCGUCACCACCGAAAAAGUAUCACCGUCGUCAACUCGAAGCUUCGAUUAGAUGAUGAGUUCAUGAAAAGGAGGAAAUUCUUUACUAACAGAGGCUCAUUUGUUCUCUAAAGGUUCUUCUCCCUUUUUCUCCCUCAAAAAUUUUCUCUCCCUCUUCCUUUUUGGACCAAAAAUUUCCAACCUCUCAAAUUUCCAAACCCUAGAAUUUCGAAACCUUCUUCAUGAACCCUAAAAAUUUUGAACCCUAAUUCUCCAACCUUAGAAUUUUGAAAACCCUCCUCAGUUGGGAUUUUUCCGAACCUAAGUUUUGAAUCCAGAAAUUUUCAACCCAAGAAUUUCUAACCUAAGAAAUUCCCCUAAAGUUUCAAAUCGAGCCCGGGAAGAAGGGAAAAAGAAACCCUAAAAUUUUUUGUCCUAAUUCUCAAACCCUAAUUUUUAGUCUAGAAUCUCCGCCUAUUUCCUAAAACGGGAUCCCCCCUCUUGCUUCUAAAACUCUCCUUUUAUAGAGAGUCAACUAGGGUUUAUUUAUGGGGGUAAAUUAGGGAUUUUUCAGAAUAGGAAAUUAUGAAAUUCGAAAUUUCAAACCUCCCUUGCUUCGAUUUU
rnacentral:lncRNA from 1 species